GAUGAACGCUGGCGGCGUGCCUAAUACAUGCAAGUCGAGCGAACAGAUAAGGAGCUUGCUCCUUUGACGUUAGCGGCGGACGGGUGAGUAACACGUGGGUAACCUACCUAUAAGACUGGGAUAACUUCGGGAAACCGGAGCUAAUACCGGAUAACAUUUGGAACCGCAUGGUUCUAAAGUGAAAGAUGGUUUUGCUAUCACUUAUAGAUGGACCCGCGCCGUAUUAGCUAGUUGGUAAGGUAACGGCUUACCAAGGCGACGAUACGUAGCCGACCUGAGAGGGUGAUCGGCCACACUGGAACUGAGACACGGUCCAGACUCCUACGGGAGGCAGCAGUAGGGAAUCUUCCGCAAUGGGCGAAAGCCUGACGGAGCAACGCCGCGUGAGUGAUGAAGGGUUUCGGCUCGUAAAACUCUGUUAUUAGGGAAGAACAAACGUGUAAGUAACUGUGCACGUCUUGACGGUACCUAAUCAGAAAGCCACGGCUAACUACGUGC
rnacentral:rRNA from 1 species